rnacentral:rRNA from 1 species
GUGGGGAAUAUUGGACAAUGGGCGAAAGCCUGAUCCAGCAAUGCCGCGUGAGUGAUGAAGGCCUUAGGGUUGUAAAGCUCUUUUACCCGGGAUGAUAAUGACAGUACCGGGAGAAUAAGCUCCGGCUAACUCCGUGCCAGCAGCCGCGGUAAUACGGAGGGAGCUAGCGUUGUUCGGAAUUACUGGGCGUAAAGCGCACGUAGGCGGCUUUGUAAGUUAGAGGUGAAAGCCUGGAGCUUAACUCCAGAACUGCCUUUAGGACUGCAGCGCUUGAAUCCAGGAGAGGUGAGUGGAAUUCCGAGUGUAGAGGUGAAAUUCGUAGAUAUUCGGAAGAACACCAGUGGCGAAGGCGGCUCACUGGACUGGUAUUGACGCUGAGGUGCGAAAGCGUGGGGAGCAAACAGGAUUAGAAACCCGUGUAGUCC